GUUGGUUGAAAAUCACCUGCGGCCUUGGCCGUGACCGUGGGUGAGAUUCGGCGCCCAGAGCAACCGGGGGCCUCAGCUCACUGUCCACUCGAUGUGGGGAGGUGAAACCCAGGCCCCGACACGC